rnacentral:rRNA from 1 species
UACGUAGGGUGCAAGCGUUAAUCGGAAUUACUGGGCGUAAAGCGUGCGCAGGCGGCUUUGCAAGACAGUUGUGAAAUCCCCGGCUCAACCUGGAACUGCAUCUGUGACUGCAUCGCUGGAGUGCGGCAGAGGGGAUGGAAUUCCGCGUGUAGCAGUGAAAUGCUUAGAUAUGACAUAGAACACCUAUUGCGAAGGCAGCUUACUACGCAUAUAUUGACGCUGAGGCACGAAAGCGUGGGAUCAAACAGG